rnacentral:rRNA from 1 species
CCUCACAUGAGCUUGCUCAGUGGCGGGCUACCCUACUUGUAGGGUUUAGAGUCGUCGGGCCUCUCGAAGAAGUCCGGUUCUGAACUCCACCCUUGAAUAAAUUACCUUUGUUGCUUUGGCAGGCCGCCUCGUGCCAGCGGCUUCGGCUGUUGAGUGCCUGCCAGAGGACCACAACUCUUGUUUUUAGUGAUGUCUGAGUACUAUAUAAUAGUUAAAACUUUCAACAACGGAUCUCUUGGUUCUGGCAUCGAUGAAGAACGCAGCGAAAUGCGAUAAGUAAUGUGAAUUGCAGAAUUCAGUGAAUCAUCGAAUCUUUGAACGCACAUUGCGCCCUCUGGUAUUCCGGGGGGCAUGCCUGUUCGAGCGUCAUUAUAACCACUCAAGCUCUCGCUUGGUAUUGGGGUUCGCGGUUUCGCGGCCCCUAAAACCUCAGUGGCGGUGCCUGUCGGCUCUACGCGUAGUAAUACUCCUCGCGAUUGAGUCCGGUAGGUUUACUUGCCAGCAACCCCCAAUUUUUACAGGUUGACCUCGGAUCA